AACGAACGCUGGCGGCAUGCCUAACACAUGCAAGUCGAACGAGACCUUCGGUUCUAGUGGCGCACGGGUGCGUAACGCGUGGGAACCUGCCCUUAGGUUCGGAAUAACUCCCCGAAAGGGGUGCUAAUACCGGAUAAUUUCUUCGGACCAAAGAUUUAUCGCCUUUGGAUGGGCCCGCGUUGGAUUAGCUAGUUGUUAGGGUAAAAGCCUACCAAGGCGACGAUCCAUAGCUGGUCUGAGAGGAUGAUCAGCCACACUGGGACUGAGACACGGCCCAGACUCCUACGGGAGGCAGCAGUGGGGAAUAUUGGACAAGGGGCGAAAGCCUGAUACAGCAAUGGCGCGUGAGUGAUGAAGGCCUUAGGGUUGUAAAGCUCUUGUAGCCGGGAUGAUAAUGACAGUACCGGGAGAAUAAGCUCCGGCUAACUCCGUG
rnacentral:rRNA from 1 species